rnacentral:rRNA from 1 species
UACGUAGGGUGCGAGCGUUAAUCGGAAUUACUGGGCGUAAAGCGUGCGCAGGCGGUUUUGUAAGACAGGUGUGAAAUCCCCGGGCUUAACCUGGGAACUGCAUUUGUGACUGCAAGGCUAGAGUAUGGCAGAGGGGGGUAGAAUUCCACGUGUAGCAGUGAAAUGCGUAGAUAUGUGGAGGAAUACCGAUGGCGAAGGCAGCCCCCUGGGUCAAUACUGACGCUGAGGCGCGAAAGCUAGGGGAGCAAACGGG